GAUGAACGCUGGCGGCGUGCCUAAUACAUGCAAGUCGAGCGAACAGAUAAGGAGCUUGCUCCUUUGACGUUAGCGGCGGACGGGUGAGUAACACGUGGGUAACCUACCUAUAAGACUGGGAUAACUUCGGGAAACCGGAGCUAAUACCGGAUAACAUUUGGAACCGCAUGGUUCUAAAGUGAAAGAUGGUUUUGCUAUCACUUAUAGAUGGACCCGCGCCGUAUUAGCUAGUUGGUAAGGUAACGGCUUACCAAGGCGACGAUACGUAGCCGACCUGAGAGGGUGAUCGGCCACACUGGAACUGAGACACGGUCCAGACUCCUACGGGAGGCAGCAGUAGGGAAUCUUCCGCAAUGGGCGAAAGCCUGACGGAGCAACGCCGCGGGAGUGAUGAAGGGUUUCGGAUCGUAAAACUCUGUUAUUAGGGAAGAACACAUGUGUAAGUAACUGUGCACGUCUUGACGGUACCUAAUCAGAAAGCCACGGCUAACUACGUG
rnacentral:rRNA from 1 species